AUUGAACGCUGGCGGCAGGCCUAACACAUGCAAGUCGAGCGGGGGUAGCAAUACCCUAGCGGCGAACGGGUGAGGAAUGCUUGGGAAUCUGCCUGGUAGUGGGGGAUAACGUUCCGAAAGGAACGCUAAUACCGCAUACGUCCUACGGGAGAAAGGGGGGGAUCUUCGGGACCUCUCGCUAUCAGAUGAGCCCAAGCCGGAUUAGCUAGUUGGUGGGGUAAAGGCCCACCAAGGCGACGAUCCGUAGCUGGUCUGAGAGGAUGAUCAGCCACACUGGAACUGAGACACGGUCCAGACUCCUACGGGAGGCAGCAGUGGGAAUAUUGGACAAUGGGCGAAAGCCUGAUCCAGCCAUGCCGCGUGUGUGAAGAAGGCC
rnacentral:rRNA from 1 species